AUUGAACGCUGGCGGCAGGCCUAACACAUGCAAGUCGAACGAGUGGCAGACGGGUGAGUAAUGUCUGGGAAACUGCCUGAUGGAGGGGGAUAACUACUGGAAAGGGUAGCUAAUACCGCAUACCAUCGGAUGUGCCCAGAUGGGAUUAGCGAGUAGGUGGGGUAAAGGCUCACCUAGGCGACGAUCCCGAGCUGGUCUGAGAGGAUGACCAGCCACACUGUAACUGAGACACGGUCCAGACUCCUACGGGAGGCAGCAGUGGGGAAUAUUGCACAAUGGGCGCAAGCCUGAUACAGCCAGGCCGCGUGUAUGAAGAAGGCCGUCGGGUUGUAAAGUACUUUCAGCGGGGAGGCGUUACCCGCAGAAGAAGCACCGGCUAACUCCGUGCCAGCCGCCGCGGUAAUAC
rnacentral:rRNA from 1 species